rnacentral:lncRNA from 1 species
UAUCUAGCUUAUGUUUCUGACCAAGGAACCAUAAUACUGUUGGUGGACUUGGUGAGGAGGCAUUGUUUCCUGUGUACUGGAAUGGAGAUAAUCGGUCUGUUCUUAGAGUCCAGAAACGGUUACAGAACACUUGGAGCUUCCAUAUCAUAACAAGGUUAGAUAUCUUUAACUGGAGUAUGUAUCGAUUUAAACUAUAACAUUUUUUUAUACCUGAUGCUUUUUACCGUUUUUUUUUGUUUUAAGUGUCAUAUAUAAGCUGAAUCUAUGUCUUUUUUCUUGCUCCCUUCUCUCUCUAUUUUUUUUUUGUUGUUGAGAAAUUCUGAAAGUGUUACACAUAUAUACAACUGAUGAUAAGACAACAGACUUGAGUUUCGUUUGAACUUUUUUCAACCAGGUCAGGCGCAGAAGAAUGCCUCAACCCUCUGGUUUUUUUUGCAUCUCAUGUCGAUUUGCAGGUUCCAGGAAUGUGUGCGAGUUAUCUGUUAUGUGUUAAAAAUUUGUAACUUCCUUUUCAGCUGAAUGAUUGCAUAGAAAAUACUGUCCUAAGUUGUUAAUGUAGAUACUUUAGUCUCUCUUUAUCGGGGAGGAUGAUACUUGGAAAAUCUUGGCUUAAAGUGGUUAUGCCUGCUCUCUUAAACCUACAACAGUUCUCAAAAUAUUCUGGAAUUAAGUCUCAGUUUUCUUUUCUAUCUUAGGUCUAACCAGGGAUUGUGUUUUAAAAUUUCUUGUGCUUCUAUUCGGAAGAACGA